rnacentral:rRNA from 1 species
GCUGGUUCUCCCCGAAAUAGCUUUAGGGCUAGCCUCAAGGUGAGAGAUACGGAGGUAGAGCACUGAAUGUCCUAGGGGGUAUUGCACCUACCGAAGACUAUUAAACUCCGAAUGCCGUCAUCUUAUACUUGGGAGUCAGACUGUGGGUGAUAAGAUUCAUAGUCGAAAGGGCAACAGCCCAGAUCGUCAGCUAAGGUCCCUAAAU